UACGCAAAGUCGGGGGUCAUAAAAACGGACCGAAAGCUUAUAGCUAAUACGCAAAGUCGGGGAUCAUAAAAACGGACCGAAACAACUUAGAGCUAAUACGCAAAGUCAGGGAUCAUAAAAACGGACCGAAAGAACUUAGUGCUAAUACGCAAUUUUGGUGGAUCAUAAAAACGGAUCCCCGAACUUAGAGCUAAAACGCAAAGUCGGGGAUCAUAAAAACGGACCAAAAGAACUUAGAGAUAAUACGCAAAUUCGGGAAUCAUAAAAACGGACCGAAAGAACUUAGAGCUAAUACGCAAAGUCGGGGAUCAUAAAAACGGACCAAAAGAACUUAGAGCUAAUACGCAAAGUCGGGGAUCAUAAAAACGGACCGAAAGAACUUGGUGCUAAUACGCAAAGUCAGGGAUCAUAAAAACGGACCGAAAGAACUUAGAGCUAAUACGCAAAGUCGGGGAUCAUAAAAACGGACCGAAAGAACUUAAAGCUAAUACGCAAAGUCGGGGAUCAUAAAAUCGGACCGAAAGAACUUAGAGCUAAUACGCAAAUUCAGGGAUCAUAAAAACGGACCGAAAAAACUUAGAGCUAAUACGCAAAGUCGGGGAUUAUAAAAACGGACCGGAAGAACUUAGAGCUAAUACGCAAAGUCGGGGAUCAUAAAAACGGACCGAAAGAACUUAGAGAUAAUACGCAAAUUCGGGGAUCAUUAAAACGGACCGAAAGAACUUAGAGCUAACACGCAAAGUCGGGGAUCAUAAAAACGGACCGAAAGAACUCAGUGCUAAUACGCAAAGUCGGGGAUCAUAAAAACGGACCGAAAGAACUUAGAGCUAUUGCGCAAAGUCGGGGAUCAUAAAAACGGACCGAAAGAUCUUAGAGAUAAUACGAAAAGUCGGGGAUCAUAAAAACGGACCGAAAGAACUUAAAGCUAAUACGCAAAGUCGGGGAUCAUAAAAACGGACCGAGAGAACUUAGAGCUUAUACGCAAAUUCAGGGAUUAUAAAAACGGACCGAAAAAACUUAGAGCUAAUACGCAAACUCGGGGAUCAUAAAAACGGACCGAAAGAACUUAGAGCUAAUACACAAAGUCAGGGAUCAUAAAAACGGACCGAAAGAACUUAGAGAUAAUACGCAAAUUCGGGGAUCAUAAAAACGGACCGAAAGAACUUAGAGCUAAUACGCAAAGUCGGGGAUCAUAAAAACGGACCGAGAGAACUUAGAGCUUAUACGCAAAGUCGGGGAUCAUAAAAACGGACCGAGAGAACUUAGAGCUAAUACGCAAAGUCGGGGAUUAUAAAAACGGACCGAAAGAACUUAGAGCUAAUACGCAAAUUCAGGGAUUAUAAAAACGGACCGAAAGACUUAGGAGCUAAUACGCAAAGUCGGGGAUCAUAAAACGGACCGAAAGGACUUAGAGCUAAUACGCAAAGUCGGGGAUCAUAAAAA
rnacentral:lncRNA from 1 species